CCUACGGGGGGCUGCAGUGGGGAAUAUUGGGCAAUGGGGGAAACCCUGACCCAGCGACGCCGCGUGAGGGAAGAAGGCCUUAGGGUCGUAAACCUCUGUUGUGUGGGAAGAAGAGCGUGACGGUACCACACGAGGAAGUCCCGGCUAACUACGUGCCAGCAGCCGCGGUAAUACGUAGGGGACGAGCGUUGUCCGGAUUUACUGGGCGUAAAGGGCGCGUAGGCGGUCAUUUAAGUCAGCUGUGAAAUGGUUUGGCUUAACCGGAUCAUGCGGUUGAAACUGGAUGACUGGAGUGCUGGAGAGGCAAGUGGAAUUCCCAGUGUAGCGGUGAAAUGCGUAGAUAUUGGGAAGAACACCGGUGGCGAAGGCGACUUGCUGGCCAGCAACUGACGCUGAGGCGCGAAAGCCAGGGGAGCAAACGGGAUUAGAUACCCCGGUAGUC
rnacentral:rRNA from 1 species